rnacentral:hammerhead_ribozyme from 1 species
AUCCAGAUGACGAAUCCCAAAUAGGACGAAACGUGUGUCCUGGAU